UACGUAGGGUGCAAGCGUUGUCCGGAAUUAUUGGGCGUAAAGAGCUCGUAGGCGGUUUGUCGCGUCUGCUGUGAAAUCCCGAGGCUCAACCUCGGGCGUGCAGUGGGUACGGGCAGACUGGAGUGCGGUAGGGGAGAAUGGAAUUCCUGGUGUAGCGGUGAAAUGCGCAGAUAUCAGGAGGAACACCAAUGGCGAAGGCGGCUCACUGGCCCGGUACUGACGCUGAGGUGCGAAAGCGUGGGGAGCAAACAGG
rnacentral:rRNA from 1 species